rnacentral:rRNA from 1 species
AUUGAACGCUGGCGGCAUGCCUUACACAUGCAAGUCGAACGGUAACAGGUUAAGCUGACGAGUGGCGAACGGGUGAGUAAUGUAUCGGAACGUGCCCAGUCGUGGGGGAUAACUGCUCGAAAGAGCAGCUAAUACCGCAUACGACCUGAGGGUGAAAGCGGGGGAUCGCAAGACCUCGCGCGAUUGGAGCGGCCGAUAUCAGAUUAGGUAGUUGGUGGGGUAAAAGCCUACCAAGCCAACGAUCUGUAGCUGGUCUGAGAGGACGACCAGCCACACUGGGACUGAGACACGGCCCAGACUCCUACGGGAGGCAGCAGUGGGGAAUUUUGGACAAUGGGCGCAAGCCUGAUCCAGCCAUGCCGCGUGCGGGAAGAAGGCC